UAGUUGGUUCCAAUGUGGUAGGUUCUAC
rnacentral:sRNA from 1 species